GAUGAACGCUAGCGGGAGGCCUAACACAUGCAAGCCGAGCGGUAUUGUUUCUUCGGCAAUGAGAGAGCGGCGUACGGGUGCGUAACACGUGUGCAACCUGCCUUUAUCUGGGGGAUAGCCUUUCGAAAGGAAGAUUAAUACUCCAUAAUAUAUUGAACGGCAUCGUUUAAUAUUGAAAGCUCCGGCGGAUAGAGAUGGGCACGCGCAAGAUUAGCUAGUUGGUGAGGUAACGGCUCACCAAGGCGAUGAUCUUUAGGGGGCCUGAGAGGGUGAUCCCCCACACUGGUACUGAGACACGGACCAGACUCCUACGGGAGGCAGCAGUGAGGAAUAUUGGUCAAUGGGUGCAAGCCUGAACCAGCCAUCCCGCGUGAAGGACGACUGCCCUAUGGGUUGUAAACUUCUUUUGUAUAGGGAUAAACCUACCCUCGAGAGGGUAGCUGAAGGUACUAUACGAAUAAGCACCGGCUAACUCCGUG
rnacentral:rRNA from 1 species